rnacentral:rRNA from 1 species
AGGUGGGCAAGCGUUGUCCGGAAUUAUUGGGCGUAAAGCGCGCGCAGGCGGUUUCUUAAGUCUGAUGUGAAAGCCCCCGGCUCAACCGGGGAGGGUCAUUGGAAACUGGGGAACUUGAGUGCAGAAGAGGAGAGUGGAAUUCCACGUGUAGCGGUGAAAUGCGUAGAGAUGUGGAGGAACACCAGUGGCGAAGGCGACUCUCUGGUCUGUAACUGACGCUGAGGCGCGAAAGCGUGGGGAGCGAACAGGAUUAGAUACCCUGGUAGUCCACGCCGUAAACGAUGAGUGCUAAGUGUUAGAGGGUUUCCGCCCUUUAGUGCUGCAGCAAACGCAUUAAGCACUCCGCCUGGGGAGUACGGUCGCAAGACUGAAACUCAAAGGAAUUGACGGGGGCCCGCACAAGCGGUGGAGCCCCCCCCCCCCCCCCCAAGCAACGCGAAGAACCUUACCAGGUCUUGACAUCCUCUGACAACCCUAGAGAUAGGGCUUCCCCUUCGGGCGCAGAGUGACAGGUGGUGCAUGGUUGUCGUCAGCUCGUGUCGUGAGAUGUUGGGUUAAGUCCCGCAACGAGCGCAACCCUUGAUCUUAGUUGCCAGCAUUCAGUUGGGCACUCUAAGGUGACUGCCGGUGACAAACCGGAGGAAGGUGGGGAUGACGUCAAAUCAUCAUGCCCCUUAUGACCUGGGCUACACACGUGCUACAAUGGGCAGAACAAAGGGCAGCGAAGCCGCGAGGCUAAGCCAAUCCCACAAAUCUGUUCUCAGUUCGGAUCGCAGUCUGCAACUCGACUGCGUGAAGCUGGAAUCGCUAGUAAUCGCGGAUCAGCAUGCCGCGGUGAAUACGUUCCCGGGCCUUGUACACACCGCCCGUCACACCACGAGAGUUUGUAACACCCGAAGUCGGUGAGGUAACCUUUUGGAGCCAGCCGCCGAAGGUGGGACAGAUGAUUGGGGUGAAGUCGUAACAAGUUGCCUGC